UCUCUGCAUCCUAUCUUCCUUGACAAUGAAAGAUGCAGCUAAGGCCGGUCUUGUUUCAAGAAGGUGGAGGAACUUUGACAUAAAAAAUAAGCGUGGAUAUGAUGGUUUUACGCAAUACAUGGUGAGUAAACUCCGCAAGAAGAUUCCUGAAUUUGUAAACUGGGUGGAUAGAGUCUUGAGGCGACUUGUGAGAUUGAUUGGUGGAUUUCUUUUGCUUUGGAAAGAAGAGUUAAGAUCCUUGAGCUUGACUUUUCUAAUGGUGUUCGAGAAUAUAAUGUGUCGUAAGACCUCCACACUUUUCCAUCCUCAAAAUUUACAGAGGGCAAUGUGCAGUCUGUGAAGCAUCUGGCUUUAAGUGCAUUCAUUGUGCGUUAUCCAGGUUUUGAAAGUUUUAGAUCUCUCAUUAGCCUCUCAUUGCACAGUGUGGAUCUUACUGAUGUCGUAGUUUGUAACUUCCUGGUGAAUUGUAAUCUCCUUGAGAACUUACUCUUUCGCAGUUGCUGGAAUUCGGUGAAUUCGAAAGUUGUUGAAUCUGACCUACGGUUGAAGCAGUUGGAGAUGUAUAAUUGUCGUUUGAAAAGUAUAGAAAUUUCUGCAAAGCAUCUAGUAGCUUUUAAAUAUUAUGGACCUAAGACAAACUUUUCUCUUAAUAGCAUCCCACGUCUCAAUGAGAUGUGGUUUGGCAUCUGGUGUGAAACAAUAACAUGUGCUCUCAGUAAUUAAUCGAGCAUCUUUGCCAAUCUCGAGAUCCUUUUCUUGCACUGCAAAAGUACAUGGGCUAAUAUGAGUUCUGUGACAUUUCCCAAAUUACCUAAUCUUAAGGUGCUAGUGUUGUCGGCUAAUGUGAUACACUGUGGUUGCAAUGGAUUCCCUUUUCCCCUAAAAGCUUGUCCAUUCUUGCAGAAAUUUGAAUUGCAUUUAGUUUAGUAUCAUGGUAAUGGUAUGGAUAUAUCAUCGCGCGAUGUAAUGAUGGCUGCAGAAUUUCGGCAUGAACACCAUAAGGAAAUUGAGCUAAUUGGUUUUCAGGGAAACAAAGUUGACAUGGAAACUUCUCUGUAUCUUGUCAAAAUUGCUGUUGCAUUGGAGAUGUUCACAAAUGCAGUACAAGUAAAGUCUUUCAAGGAGUACAGUCCAAAGGUAAAGCAGAGACAUGUAGGAGCAAUGGAACUAGGAAGGAGGCGGAUGGCAAGAGAACGCGCCCAGAAGCUUGAGACAGAGCUACCCCGCAACGCCAAACUUGUUAUCCUUUGAGAUGAGUGUCAAAAUUUAUCCAGUUAUUUAUCGUCCCGAGCUUGUUUAGCAGUUAAUUAGUCAUUAUUUAUAUUAUCUUUCAUAUCCUUUGAAA